ACAGCUAUAGAUCCUCCCGUGAUCGCGGAGCGCAGUGAGCUGCGCGCCCGGCUCCGCUCCUCGCAGUCUCCCGGAUACCGCGGCUGCGGCAGAGGGACCUGAUGGAAGAGGUGGCGGCCGCUCAGUCCUUCCAGGGAUGGAUGAUGAAGCCUCCAGCAAGGUGUGGUGUGUAAAUGCUCCAGGGAGUCCCUAGUUCCUUCCAUAUGGCUGCGUCCAGCUGAGGCUCUUCAUCCCUGGGGUCUCUGCUGCACAAUCCCUGCAAGAGGCUUUCCCUUUCCUGGUUACCAAGAAGACAAAUUCUCCCCUCGGAAACACUCUCCUAGAUCCAGGUUUAUCUGCCCAGGUGGAAGCCAGCAAACUUAUUCCUGACUUCUCUUGCUGUGGAACAUGAGCCAAAAUGAAAAUGUCUAAAAUUAUCUUCCCCACUUUUGGUAGUCACUGAACUGGAAAUGAAUUACUCACAUAAAUCCAGCCACCAGUUUCCUGAGGCAUGUACACACAGCAGCUUUGGAUAUGACCUGGGGUAAGUAUGAAAAACACUGGAUUUGCCUUGGUGUUCCUAAGACUGAGGUACUUCUAUGACUGAACACAGGAAUACCUUUGUUGAAAUUACAGAAAUACUGAUUUUCUUCUACUGAGACUACAGACAUAUCUGAUUCCUCUAAUGUAGGAUUAGAGAUCAUGGAAUAUUUUUUCUCAUCACUGAAUUAUUCCAAUGUCCUGGUAACAUUAAUACUAUUCACUAGUUCAGUUAUGCAAAACAACGUGUCUUAUCUGAAAUAUAUAACUUCCACCAGCACAAUGGCCCCGAUGCUACGCCAGGUUAUUAAUUCAGCUCUGAGUAAGAGACUUCUCUGCUAGCUCUACUGCUGAUGUCUACAGAAUCAUAAAUAUUGGGUAUCUUUCUAACAGGUGAACAUAACUGCAUAUAAAGUACAGAACAGGAGUUUAACAACUUGCAAAGAAAUACUUCAGCGUAUUAAGCGUAUUAAGGUCAUACAAUCAAAUGAAAACAAGUACAGUUUAAUCAUGCAGUUAGUUUGAAAAAAAUUUCCAUUGUCCAUGGCAUCAGUGCAGGAUACUUCUUUGCCAUAUCAGAGAAAUGUUUAGCUCUCUAUUAACACAGUGCUUAGGAAUGCAAACAACUUCACACCUAUAUUUGAAAUAUGAAGAAAGUUGUAUGAAAUAGAAGAUAUCUUUUAUGGUAUGCAAACAGCAAAUUAAACAAUGCAAAGUGUUUUCUUUCCUAAUAUUUAACCAUUUCUGUUAAUUCUGACUUUCCCAGAAUCAGUCUUUAACCAUCUACCACACAAAUAAUCCCUUUGACCAGGGUUUAGAUUAUUAGAAGAUUGAGACAGACUAGAAAAAAUGAUUUUCAGACUGCUAAGGUUUCUGGAUUACUUCACCCUGGAAAGUCCAUUUUAUCACUUCUCUCACUGUCAUUUUGCAACCUCAGUCAAACAAAAUAAUUUCUGUAAGCUGAAUUUAUAUGGCAGUCUUCUUCAUCCUCCUCUCAUUGCUGUAGCUGCUGGUCCUGCACAGGCCUGCUGAGUUGUUGUGGUUUCUCUACCCUACUGUGGUUUUUAUGUAUUUAAACAUGCUGGUUUCUUGUAUUAUUAAAGUCUCUCAUUGGG
rnacentral:lncRNA from 7 species